GUCUUUUUGAGUUAUUUUUAAAGUCUGACCUGCCCACUGAAUAUUUUUAAAUGGCCGCAGUAUUCUAACUGUGCAAAGGUAGCAUAAUCAUUAGUCUUUUAAUUGAAGGCUGGUAUGAACGGUUGGACGAAGUAUAAGCUGUUUCAUAUAAAAUUAUAUUAGAAUUUUAUAUUUUAGUUAAAAAGCUAAAAUAUUAUUAAAAGACGAGAAGACCCUAUAAAUCUUUAUAUUUAAUAUUAUUCAAAUUUUUUUGAUUAAUUUUAUUUUUAUAAUAUUAAAUAUUUUGUUGGGGUGAUAUUAAAAUUUAAUAAACUUUUAAUUUUGAAUUAGAACAUUAAUUUAUGAAUAGUUGAUCCAUUAUUAAUGAUUAUAAGAUUAAGUUACUUUAGGGAUAACAGCGUAAUUUUUUUUGAGAGUUCAUAUCGACAAAAAAGUUUGCGACCUCGAUGUUGGAUUAAGAUAUAUAUUUAGGUGUAGCUGUUUAAAUAUUAAGUCUGUUCGACUUUUAAAUUCUUACAUGAUCUGAGUUCAAACCGGAGA
rnacentral:rRNA from 1 species